rnacentral:rRNA from 1 species
GAUGAACGCUGGCGGCGUGCCUAAUACAUGCAAGUCGAGCGAACAGACGAGGAGCUUGCUCCUCUGACGUUAGCGGCGGACGGGUGAGUAACACGUGGAUAACCUACCUAUAAGACUGGGAUAACUUCGGGAAACCGGAGCUAAUACCGGAUAAUAUAUUGAACCGCAUGGUUCAAUAGUGAAAGACGGUUUUGCUGUCACUUAUAGAUGGAUCCGCGCCGCAUUAGCUAGUUGGUAAGGUAACGGCUUACCAAGGCAACGAUGCGUAGCCGACCUGAGAGGGUGAUCGGCCACACUGGAACUGAGACACGGUCCAGACUCCUACGGGAGGCAGCAGUAGGGAAUCUUCCGCAAUGGGCGAAAGCUUGACGGAGCAACGCCGAGUGAGUGAUGAAGGUCUUCGGAUCGUAAAACUCUGUUAUUAGGGAAGAACAAAUGUGUAAGUAACUAUGCACGUAUUGACGGUACCUAAUCAGAAAGCCACGGCUAACUACGUG